rnacentral:rRNA from 1 species
GAUGAACGCUGGCGGCGUGCCUAAUACAUGCAAGUCGAGCGAACAGACGAGGAGCUUGCUCCUCUGACGUUAGCGGCGGACGGGUGAGUAACACGUGGAUAACCUACCUAUAAGACUGGGAUAACUUCGGGAAACCGGAGCUAAUACCGGAUAACAUGUUGAACCGCAUGGUUCAACAGUGAAAGACGGUCUUGCUGUCACUUAUAGAUGGAUCCGCGCCGCAUUAGCUAGUUGGUAAGGUGACGGCUUACCAAGGCAACGAUGCGUAGCCGACCUGAGAGGGUGAUCGGCCACACUGGAACUGAGACACGGUCCAGACUCCUACGGGAGGCAGCAGUAGGGAAUCUUCCGCAAUGGGCGAAAGCCUGACGGAGCAACGCCGCGUGAGUGAAGAAGGUCUUCGGAUCGUAAAACUCUGUUAUUAGGGAAGAACAAAUGUGUAAGUAACUAUGCACGUCUUGACGGUACCUAAUCAGAAAGCCACGGCUAACUACGUG